rnacentral:rRNA from 1 species
UACGGGGGGAGCAAGCGUUGUUCGGAUUUACUGGGCGUAAAGCGCGCGCAGGCGGCUUGGAAAGUCGGGUGUGAAAACUCGGGGCUCAACCCCGGGCGUGCAUCCGAUACUGCCAGGCUUGAGGCAGGUAGGGGAGAUCGGAAUUCCUGGUGUAGCGGUGAAAUGCGCAGAUAUCAGGAGGAACACCGGUGGCGAAGGCGGAUCUCUGGGCCUGUCCUGACGCUGAGGCGCGAAAGCUAGGGGAGCGAACAGG